rnacentral:rRNA from 1 species
CGUAAAGCGCACGCAGGCGGUUGGAUAAGUUAGAUGUGAAAGCCCCGGGCUCAACCUGGGAAUUGCAUUCCGUAAAACUGUCCAGCUAGAAAGUCUUGUAGAGGGGGGUAGAAUUCCAGGUGUAGCGGUGAAAUGCGUAGAGAUCUGGAGGAAUACCGGUGGCGAAGGCGGCCCCCUGGACAAAGACUGCCACGCUCAGGUGCGAAAGCGUGGGGAGCAAACAGGAUUAGAUACCCUGGUAGUCCACGCCGUAAACGAUGUCGAUUUGGAGGCUGUGUCCUUGAGACGUGGCUUCCGGAGCUAACGCGUUAAAUCGACCGCCUGGGGAGUACGGCCGCAAGGUUAAAACUCAAAUGAAUUGACGGGGGGCCCGCACAAGCGGUGGAGCAUGUGGGUUUAAUUCGAUGCAACGCGAAGAAACCUUACCUGGCCUUGACGGAACC